GAAAGGCCAGGCUCAGAAACCUGACCAGUGGUGGGAAAGAGCCAGCAGCAAGGAGGCCCAGAGGUUUCCUCCACUAAGACCCGAGAGCUUCUUCCAGAAGACAUUCCUGGACCAUCCGUGACAAAUUAGGAGAGGCCAGUUUCUGAGAAGCAGCCAUGAUGCUCCAGAUUGAGAAAAAUGGGGUGACCAUUCUGAUGAGCCACUCAGCUCCUCCAAGAACGGAAGAAACCCUCCCUCCCUGGAGAGCUCUGAUCAGGGAGGCCAACUCCAGGGCGCAAGG